rnacentral:rRNA from 1 species
AACGAACGCUGGCGGCAUGCCUAACACAUGCAAGUCGAACGAGACCUUCGGGUCUAGUGGCGCACGGGUGCGUAACACGUGGGAAUCUGCCCUUCGGUUCGGAAUAAACACAGAGAAAUUUGUGCUAAUACCGGAUGAUGACUUCGGUCCAAAGAUUUAUCGCCGAGGGAUGAGCCCGCGUAGGAUUAGGUAGUUGGUGGGGUAAUGGCCUACCAAGCCGACGAUCCUUAGCUGGUCUGAGAGGAUGAUCAGCCACACUGGGACUGAGACACGGCCCAGACUCCUACGGGAGGCAGCAGUGGGGAAUAUUGGACAAUGGGCGCAAGCCUGAUCCAGCAAUGCCGCGUGAGUGAUGAAGGCCUUAGGGUUGUAAAGCUCUUUUACCAGGGAUGAUAAUGACAGUACCUGGAGAAUAAGCUCCGGCUAACUCCGUGC